rnacentral:RNase_MRP_RNA from 15 species
CUCGAAUCUGCAUCCGCGGCUGACACACGAAGGUCGUCAGGUUUGAUCUUUUUCCUUACAGUCUCCGGGCCUUCGGAGAUCUGAGUGAAGUUUUCGCCGCCGGCAGUUGCCCCGCAUCGCAUCGUAAGUUUGGGAUGCUCGGUGUGUACAGAGAGCCGAUCGGCCGACUUUUGUGGCUUGUUUGCCAUCGUGCAUGCAUGCGUUGAUGUUGCACAGUAUAG